rnacentral:tRNA from 4 species
GGGGCCGUAGCUCAGCUGGGAGAGCACCUGCUUUGCAAGCAGGGGGUCGUCGGUUCGAUCCCGUCCGGCUCCACC